AUGGAGGACGGAGGCCUGCGCGCGAGCAUUCUCGUCAAGGAUGGUGCAACAUGCCAUGGUGAAGAAUCACAGUCUCUACUGGAAGUAUCUCAACACCCAGAGCUUAAACCUAGAGGUUCUGACUGGAGACCACCUGCAAUCAUUCUUGGACUUGAAUGCUUGGAGAGUAUGGCUUUCAAUGGCAUCGCCACAAACCUAGUUGUGUAUAUCCGCUCAGUUCUCCAUGGUGGCAUUGCCUCAAGUGCUUCAAUUGUUUCUCUUUGGUAUGGGACUAGCUUCUUUGUGCCUAUACUUGGAGCAGGCAUAGCGGAUGCUUACUGGGGAAAUUACAAGACUGUCUUGAUCUCCCUUGUUAUGUACCUACUUGGCAUGGUACUCAUUACAGUUGGAUCAUUUAUACCUUCUGCUCCAGCCUUAUGCAACUUAGGCUCAUGCUCGUCAUCAAAAGGAACUGAGAAUCUAAUUUUCUUCUCGGGUUUGUAUCUAUCUGCUGUUGGUUGUGGAGGAGUAAGGUCCGCAUUGCUUCCACUUGGGGCAGACCAAUUCAACAAUGAGAACAGUCUAGAUACGCCAAAGAGGAGGAAUUUCUUCAGUUUGUUUUAUAUCUGUGUCAUCUUUGGUGUGAUUACUUCUGGCACCAUUGUAGUCUGGGUUCAGGAAAAUGUGAGCUGGGCUAUAGGAUAUGGUAUUGCUACAACAUGCAUAGCUCUGGCUUUGGUAGGCUUUGUGGCCGGAACACCAAUAUUCCGGCGGCGUGAGCCUAGUGGUUCCCCAAUGAAGAGUAUUUUCCAGGUUACUUUUGCUGCUUUUAAGAACAUGAGCUUAGAAAUCCCUGCCGAUAGCUCUCUUCUUUAUGAGGCCAGGAGCAAGAACACACACAAGAGAGGACCGAGAUUAGCUCAUACUGAUGAUUUCAGGUUCUUGGAUAAGGCAGCCGUUAUUUCUGAUCUUCCCUUUGACAACAGCAGUUGCCAAAGUUCUUGGAGGAUCUGUACUGUAACUCAAGUCGAGGAAUUGAAAAUACUAAUCCGACUGCUUCCAAUUUGGGCGACUGGAGUAUUCUUUGCUUCUGCAAUCUCACAAAUGCACACUACCUUCAUUCAGCAGGGAACCGUGAUGAACACCAAGAUUGGCUCGCUGUCCAUUCCACCAGCUUCCUUGUAUUCCUUUGAAGUGAUAUGUGUGACACUUUGGGUUCUUCUUAUGAACAAAGUCAUUGUACCAGCGACCAGGACAUUCUUCACAAGUGGAGCGGAGCUAACACAGUUGCAGAGGAUCGGGAUUGGCCGUUUCCUAAUGAUCUUUGCCAUGGCAAUGGCUGCUCUUUUAGAAGCAAAGAGGCUAGAGAGCGUCCAGCAUGGCAAUCCAUUAAGCAUCGUGUGGCAGCUGCCGCAGUACUUCGUCAUCGCUGGGGCAGAAUGCUUCGUCAUCAUUGCUCAGCUGGAGUUCUUCCAUGGCCAGGCACCUGACUCCAUGAAGAGCAUGUUGACGGCGUUUGCGUUGCUCACCACUGCUCUCGGCAACUACUUGAGCUCAGCUAUCAUCACCCUUAUUGCGAGGCUGACUAGGGAAUGGCAGAGCCCUGGAUGGAUACCUGAUGACCUGAACGAAGGGCACCUUGACUACUUCUACUGGUGCCUUACAGCCAUCUCAUUUGUGAAUUUUAUUGUCUAUGUCUAUUUUGCUAGUAAAUACAGAUUAAAGAAAAUUGUUAUUGAUGGCUAA
rnacentral:rRNA from 1 species